AUUGAACGCUGGCGGCAUGCUUUACACAUGCAAGUCGAACGGUAACAGGUUAAGCUGACGAGUGGCGAACGGGUGAGUAAUGCAUCGGAACGUGCCCGGUCGUGGGGGAUAACGCAGCGAAAGCUGCGCUGAUACCGCAUACGAUCUGAGGAUGAAAGCGGGGGACCGUAAGGCCUCGCGCGAUCGGAGCGGCCGAUGUCAGAUUAGGUAGUUGGUGGGGUAAAGGCUCACCAAGCCAACGAUCUGUAGCUGGUCUGAGAGGACGACCAGCCACAGUGGGACUGAGACACGGGCCAGACUCCUAAGGGAGGCAGCAGUGGGGAAUUUUGGACAAUGGGCGAAAGCCUGAUCCAGCAAUGCCGCGUGCAGGAAGAAGGCCUUCGGGUUGUAAACUGCUUUUGUACGGAGCGAAAAGGUCUCCUCUAAUACAGGGGGCUCAUGACGGUACCGUAAGAAUAAGCACCGGCUAACUACGUGCCAGCCGCCGCAGUAA
rnacentral:rRNA from 1 species